rnacentral:rRNA from 1 species
GACGAACGCUGGCGGCGUGCUUAACACAUGCAAGUCGAACGGAAAGGCCCUGCUUUUGUGGGGUGCUCGAGUGGCGAACGGGUGAGUAACACGUGAGUAACCUGCCCUUGACUUUGGGAUAACUUCAGGAAACUGGGGCUAAUACCGGAUAGGAGCUCCUGCUGCAUGGUGGGGGUUGGAAAGUUUCGGCGGUUGGGGAUGGACUCGCGGCUUAUCAGCUUGUUGGUGGGGUAGUGGCUUACCAAGGCUUUGACGGGUAGCCGGCCUGAGAGGGUGACCGGCCACAUUGGGACUGAGAUACGGCCCAGACUCCUACGGGAGGCAGCAGUGGGGAAUAUUGCACAAUGGGCGGAAGCCUGAUGCAGCAACGCCGCGUGCGGGAUGACGGCCUUCGGGUUGUAAACCGCUUUCGCCUGUGACGAAGCGUGAGUGACGGUAAUGGGUAAAGAAGCACCGGCUAACUACGUGCCAGCAGCCGCGGUGAUACGUAGGGUGCGAGCGUUGUCCGGAUUUAUUGGGCGUAAAGGGCUCGUAGGUGGUUGAUCGCGUCGGAAGUGUAAUCUUGGGGCUUAACCCUGAGCGUGCUUUCGAUACGGGUUGACUUGAGGAAGGUAGGGGAGAAUGGAAUUCCUGGUGGAGCGGUGGAAUGCGCAGAUAUCAGGAGGAACACCAGUGGCGAAGGCGGUUCUCUGGGCCUUUCCUGACGCUGAGGAGCGAAAGCGUGGGGAGCGAACAGGCUUAGAUACCCUGGUAGUCCACGCUGUAAACGGUGGGUACUAGGUGUGGGGUCCAUUCCACGGGUUCCGUGCCGUAGCUAACGCUUUAGGUACCCCGCCUGGGGAGUACGGCCGCAAGGCUAAAACUCAAAGGAAUUGACGGGGCCCCGCACAAGCGGCGGAGCAUGCGGAUUAAUUCGAUGCAACGCGUAGAACCUUACCUGGGUUUGACAUGGAUCGGGAGUGCUCAGAGAUGGGUGUGCCUCUUUUGGGGUCGGUUCACAGGUGGUGCAUGGCUGUCGUCAGCUCGUGUCGUGAGAUGUUGGGUUAAGUCCCGCAACGAGCGCAACCCUUGUUCACUGUUGCCAGCACGUUAUGGUGGGGACUCAGUGGAGACCGCCGGGGUCAACUCGGAGGAAGGUGGGGAUGACGUCAAGUCAUCAUGCCCCUUAUGUCCAGGGCUUCACGCAUGCUACAAUGGCUGGUACAGAGAGUGGCGAGCCUGUGAGGGUGAGCGAAUCUCGGAAAGCCGGUCUCAGUUCGGAUUAGGGUCUGCAACUCGACCUCAUGAAGUCGGAGUCGCUAGUAAUCGCAGAUCAGCAACGCUGCGGUGAAUACGUUCCCGGG